CCUACGGGUGGCAGCAGUGAGGAAUAUUGGUCAAUGGGCGCAAGCCUGAACCAGCCAAGUCGCGUGAAGGAUGACUGCUCUAUGGUUUGUAAACUUCUUUUAUAUGGGAAUAAAGUGCAGUAUGUGUACUGCUUUGCAUGUACCUUAUGAAUAAGGAUCGGCUAACUCCGUGCCAGCAGCCGCGGUAAUACGGAGGAUUCGAGCGUUAUCCGGAUUUAUUGGGUUUAAAGGGGGCGUAGGCGGGUUGUUAAGUCAGUGGUGAAAGUUUGGGGCUCAACCAUAAAAUUGCCGUUGAUACUGGAAGCCUUGAGUACAGUAGAGGUAGGCGGAAUGCGUGGUGUAGCGGUGAAAUGCUUAGAUAUCACGAAGAACUCCGAUUGCGAAGGCAGCCUGCUGGACUGUAACUGACGCUGAGGCACGAAAGCGUGGGGAUCAAACAGGAUUAGAUACCCGAGUAGUC
rnacentral:rRNA from 1 species